GACGAACGCUGGCGGCGUGCUUAACACAUGCAAGUCGAACGGUGAAGCGCCUUCCUUUUUGGUGGGUGUGGAUGAGUGGCGAACGGGUGAGUAACACGUGAGUAACCUGCCCCCUUCUUCUGGAUAACCGCAUGAAAGUGUGGCUAAUACGGGAUAUUCUGGGUCUGUCGCAUGAUGGGUCUGGGAAAGAUAUUGUUUCGGUGGGGGAUGGGCUCGCGGCCUAUCAGCUUGUUGGUGGGGUGAUGGCCUACCAAGGCGGUGACGGGUAGCCGGCCUGAGAGGGUGGACGGUCACACUGGGACUGAGACACGGCCCAGACUCCUACGGGAGGCAGCAGUGGGGAAUAUUGCACAAUGGCGCAAGCCUGAUGCAGCGACGCCGCGUGAGGGAUGGAGGCCUGCGGGUUGUGAACCUCUUUCGCCAGUGAAGCAGGCCUGCCUCGUUUGUGGGUGGGUUGACGGUAGCUGGAUAAGAAGCGCCGGCUAACUACGUG
rnacentral:rRNA from 1 species